rnacentral:lncRNA from 1 species
UAGGCUCAAAUGGGAGAGCAAGUGAUAAAAAUCUGUAUAGAUAGUGAAACAAAUGCUCAAAGUAAAUUUUCAAAACAAACAAGAAUAAUGCACAUUUUUGCUUUCACUUAGAUGUGAAUUGAAUCGAUUAAACACAAUGGAUAUUUUCAAGCAAAGAUGGCCCCAAUUUGCAAUUUAUCAAUCAAUGUGACUGAUUUUAUUUUGGGGUUCAGUGAAGGAGAAAAGAUAUCUCAUUGGGCCUUCUGAAUGACCUCUUUUAAUUCUGAACACUCUUAUUGUGAAUUUUCAGGUCGGAGGUUGAAAAAAUCCCAAUUUAGUCUUAUUUCUUAAAAUUCAUCAUGCAAUCUCCAAUGAAUAAGAAUAAAGAAUGAAAUGUACAUAAAUAUACACAAAACAAUGAUUGUCCAAAAAAUUUAUUGC